UCAUCAGAUAGGAGCGAAA
rnacentral:snRNA from 1 species